UUCUUUGGAUAUAUUACACACAUAUGGUAUGCGCUCGGUUCUACCCCCCUGGAACCGGGUGUGACAUCCCACCACCAAGGUAGCCGCAGCCUAGGCCAAUAUGUAGAAGCAUGGUCGGCAUCACAUGGUGGUCGGGCUUGCUCCAUCUUCUCGGCCUAUGCUAUGGCCCAUAAGGGCAAGGUGACGUCCGACGUCACCUACAACCCGGAUGACGGGCCCGAGACCUACAGCAACCCCUGCCUUCAUGACUACACCGCCAUGGCGCAGGAGGUCCAUGGCACAGAAUAUGAUCCUAGCACCGAGCAAAUCGACCUCGAUGUGCUCAUGAGGGUCGGAGGAGGCAAGAGACAUGGGUGGUACUGGAUUGCCGAUGGGGCAAUCGACUCGUCCUCCACUCCCACUCUGUCUCAUGUGCGGGCAAGGAGCACGGGCUCGAGUCCAGCCAUAUGACCUCGGUACAACAGCUCACAGCUUCGCAUACAGCAACUCGAGACCCAGCUAGAAGAAGAGAGGAGGGAAGGCCUAGCAGAUCAGCAGAGGAUGGCGAAGAUGUUUCAAUACAUGCAGAGCCUUGGCGCCGCACAGGGUUUCGCUCCGCCACCUCCAUUGUUCCCUACAAUGGACCCUGCUCUAUUCCAUACUCCU